AUAUAUUCCGGACCUCCCAAUAAGUCGUUUGACGAUGGGGUGACGCAUAAGGAUAAACAGGACCAACUAUGACUAGUGGUUCGAUGCGUGUGAAGCUGGAUUCUCUAGGCAAAUCCGGAGAGUCUUAACAGUGAGACGCAAAGCAGGCCCGUAGGGGCUGAAGCUGCUGAUUUCAUGGUGCCAAGAAAAACCUCUAAGGAGAAUUAUUGGGAACCGUACCACAAACCGACACAGGUAGACGAGGAGAAUAUCCAAAGGCGCUCGAGUGAAAGCUUGUUAAGGAACUCGGCAAAUUAGACCCGUAACUUCGGGAGAAGGGUCGCCCCCAAGGGUGCAAGCCCAGGGGGGCCGCAGUGAAGCGCGAACGGCGACUGUUUAACAAAAACACAGGUCUCUGCAAAGUCUAAAACGACGUAUAGGGGCUGACUCCUGCCCGGUGCCGGAAGGUUAAAGGGAGUGGUUAGGCGCAAGCCGAAGCUACGAACUGAAGCCCCGGUGAACGGCGGCCGUAACAAUAACGGUCCUAAGGUAGCGAAAUUCCUUGUCGGGUAAGUUCCGACCUGCACGAAUGGAGUAACGAUCGUUCGACUGUCUUAACGAGUUGCUCGGCGAACUUGUAGUACCGGUGAAGAUGCCGGUUACCCGCAGCUAGACGAAAAGACCCCGUGCACCUUUACUAUACUUUUACAUUGGGUUACGGCAAUUGCUGCGCAGGAUAGGUGGGAGGCUUUGAUACCGGACUUUUGGGUUCGGUGGAGCCAACGGUGAGGUACCACCCUGCGAUUGUUGUGAUCCUAACCUCCUUCCGUAUAUCCGGAAGAGGGACAUUGUAAGACGGGUAGUUUGACUGGGGCGGUCGCCUCCUAAAUUGUAACGGAGGCGCGCGAAGCUACACUCAGGUCGUUUGGAAAUCGACCGUCGAGUGCAAAGGCAUAAGUGUGGUUAACUGCAAGACCUACAAGUCGAGCAGAUGCGAAAGCAGGCCUUAGUGAUCCGGUGGUUCUGUAUGGAAGGGCCAUCGCUCAACGGAUAAAAGGUACGCCGGGGAUAACAGGCUGAUCGAAGCCAAGAGUUCAUAUCGACGCUUCGGUUUGGCACCUCGAUGUCGGCUCAUCGCAUCCUGGAGCUGUAGAAGGUUCCAAGGGUUAGGCUGUUCGCCUAUUAAAGCGGUACGUGAGCUGGGUUCAGAACGUCGCGAGACAGUUCGGUCUCUAUCUGCUGUGGGCGUAGGAGAUUUGAAGAGGGCUGUCCUUAGUACGAGAGGACCGGGAUGGACGAACCUCUUGUGUUCCAGUUGUCAUGUCAAUGGCACGGCUGGGUAGCGAAGUUCGGUUGUGAUAACCGCUGAAUGCAUAUAAGCGGGAAGCACGCUCUAAGAUGAGAUCUCCCAACCCGUAAGGGAAAUGAAGGGCCCAGGAAGACCACCUGGUUGAUAGGCUGGAGGUUGAAGUGCAGUAAUGCAUGUAGCUUACCAGUACUAAUCGCCCGUUCGGCUUGUCCAU
rnacentral:rRNA from 1 species